AGUGAACGCUGGCGGUAGGCCUAACACAUGCAAGUCGAACGGCAGCACAGGAGAGCUUGCUCUCUGGGUGGCGAGUGGCGGACGGGUGAGGAAUACAUCGGAAUCUACUCUGUCGUGGGGGAUAACGCAGGGAAACUUACGCUAAUACCGCAUACGACCUACGGGUGAAAGCAGGGGGCCUUCGGGCCUUGCGCGAUUGAAUGAGCCGAUGUCGGAUUAGCUAGUUGGCGGGGUAAAGGCCCACCAAGGCGACGAUCCGUAGCUGGUCUGAGAGGAUGAUCAGCCACACUGGAAAUGAGACACGGUCCAGACUCCUACGGGAGGCAGCAGUGGGGAAUAUUGGACAAUGGGCGCAAGCCUGAUCCAGCCAUACCGCGUGGGUGAAGAAGGCCUUCGGGUUGUAAAGCCCUUUUGUUGGGAAAGAAAUCCAGCUGGCUAAUACCCGGUUGGGAUGACGGUACCCAAAGAAUAAGCACCGGCUAACUUCGUGCCAGCCGCCGCCGUAA
rnacentral:rRNA from 1 species